AAAUGUUUUACGUUUUAGACGUUGUGAUUGAAAGAAUGGUUUCGUUUUAGUUUCACAUGAAAUCAGUUUUGGUUAUUAGUUAAUUCUUCAUUUGGUGUCUUUAUAUUAUAAAAAUUACAGCUCGUGUAUUGUUAUGUAAAAGUAUAUCUAAAGGAUAUAGCUUCUAAUUUGGCAUAAUUAGAAAUUAAGUGAUAAAUGUUAGCAUAUCAUGAUCUCACACUGCAUGUGAUUUCCCCCAUGUAGCUAUACUUUUAACUCUCUGUUAGUGUACAAUCUUUUUUGUUUCUUUUCUUCUUUUAUUUAUUUUUUUAAAAAAAAAUAUUAUGUGUUGGCUAUGUAAAAAGAAAUCAAUAUCGAAAGAGCCAUGGUUGUAGCCUCAUUGUUCACGUUAUAUGAGUAUAAGUUUUUAUUCUUUUAUAUUCUAUUAGAGAUAUGCAUGGAAGCCUAUGUGAUAUCAUGAAGGCUAUGAACUAUUUCUUCCUAGUUGAAUAUGAAGAAUUUGAGGUUUAGCUUAUGUUCAAUAUAUAUAUUUUAUGAUUUAACUAUUUUUAGUUGGUUCAGAACUCUUCAAUAGCUAAAUGAGUAUUUUAUUUGACGCUUGCAUAUCUUGUGUUUGUAAUAAUAUAUACAUUGUAUAAUUUUGCUUAGCUCUAUAUUUGAUUUUCACUAUCGUUUAAAGUUGAAUUGUCUCACUAAUCUCCUCUUUACUUUCUUUUUAUUUACAUGUACAUUCGGGGGCGCGUAUGGAGUUGCAAUAUGACUCCACCUCUAUCCAAAUUAGAGAAGCAACCUAUCUUGCAUUUAGCUCGUGUCUAGAAUGAUUCACUCAUUCCAAAAGAAAAUCCCGCACUUCCUCNNN
rnacentral:lncRNA from 1 species